ACCCAAGAGUUACCAUGCAUGAUCCGUGAAUGAUGGGUAUCAGGCCUGGACCAGGUCUGAUUCUAUAACGGUCCAGCAUCGACGGCCAUCACUGCUGAAUCGAGGCUGUUGCUCUGGCCUGGACCAGUAUCUAUUUCAGUCCCGAUGUAGUCAUAGCUGAUACAGUAGUGUCUGUUCGUCAGCACUGGUCCAGGCUGUAUAUCAGUACUGGAUCAGAUUGAUGCUUUUUAAGAUGGCAGCCCCGUGUGGACUAUCUGACAUGUUUUGUUAAAGAAAAUCAUCUUAAUCUGACUUUUUAAGAGGAAUCUUGUUGGCUGUAUACACUAGGGCUAAAUCACUGGAUGUUAUGCUAUUUUGAACCAUUUAUUACUUAAACAUGAGUAGGAUACAUCAUAUUUUGAGUAAAAAGUAGGCACAUGUAGAUACACAAUCAAGCUAAAUAAAUUAAUUGAGCAGAUACAUGACUGAAAAAUAAAACGACUGACACUUUCCAAUUAAAGUUUACCACAUCUUGCCUACAAAAUCUCUAUGAUAUGAAAGUAGAGACCUGGGUUUAUGAGGAAUUAUCAAAGGGUAUUGAGCCAAGCAUUGAAACAGAGCCAGAAAACCUUUCUGCAAUAAUCAUGACACUGGUGAAGACGAUGAGAAAUCAGGCGUAAAAAUGGUUCACUACAUGUGAUUGUAACUAUGUUUUUAAUUAGGGUGAAUGUAUUAGUGAUCAUGAUGAUGAAGAUAUUGUACUGAGAGACUUAUGAAUGAUAGUCACAAGUGUGAAUUUUUGAUGCGGAAGAUUAUUCUGGAAAUAUUAGUAUAGUAGGUGCUCCUUUAAUUCAUAUUAAUUUAUUAAUUUAGCAAGGCCACUAGUAUACAUUCUAUAGUUACCUUAUCUCACUAAGUUUCAAGACAAGAAUAUCUUAGCUCUUGUUAAGUUCACUUCAAAUAGCAUUGAAUUUUUUUGUGAACCUGCCUUCAUCAUGCUGGUUAAGGAAGUUAUGUUAUGGAACUAAGCUUUGUAGGACUAUGUGUGACAAGAUACCUUUGAAAGAUCUGCUUCACUACAUGGAACCCGAGAGUUCAUUAAUGUUGGAGAUUUUGGGAAAUUAAUUUCUCAGUAAUGUGUCUUAACUUACAAAACAUGAAGUGUCUUACUUGUAGAACAUUGGUAGACUAUGAUGAAGAAAACAAUUA